UCAGGAGGCUAACUCUAGCUGUUAACUGCUAACCACCAGCUGUCGCUCCGUCUGUGUCACACGUCUUCAGACAAAAGGUGCUGCAUGCACACACAUGGACAUGGCACAUGAUGAAUGUUUGCAGCGCUGCACGUUUGAGGAGAUAGCUAUUCUAGUCCAGGAUAAAUGAUUUUUAAACUUUUACAUGACAGUGAAAGCUUUUGGAGCAUGCAUCCUCAUGCCUCUUCAAUGCGUCAAGUGUAAACUAAGCUUAAUGGAACAAGCGCAAGCAAAGCUCAAGAAUGAACAGCAUCUCAGCCUCCAGGAAACAUCAGGGCACACCUGGGUUUAAUAUGCCUGACAAAGCAGCAGGCACACCUGUGUUCAGGAUCACCUGGGGAGGACAGGAGACUCCUGAAACAAGACCCAAAGUGGAAAGAAAACUCUGCAGCCGCAGUGGGAAAAGUGGCUGCAUCGCUGCUGGAUUAAGUUUGCCGUUGCAGGAUAUUUAUGGCCUCCAAGCAGCCACCUCCCAAUCUCACAUCAAGCUCCAGUGAAAGCCUUCACGCAGCUGGAAUCUCAGAGGCCCCAGACUUCAGAGACCCUCACCAUUAACCACACCAGUUUACAGUUGGAUCUCUGUCCUUUUCUCCCUCCUUGCAUAUAUAUUUUUUGUAAUACUUUUUUUCUUUUUAACUGUAAAAACAGUUUAGUUAAGGAUACAGAUUACACUUUGUUGGCUACAUAGCAUCAUCUGGUCACAAUGACUUGAUCAGAAAUGACAGGGAUACUGCUUACCAUCAGUCGCAUACUUCCAAUAGGUCUGACUGUUCCUUAAACUGAUUAGAUUGAUGUGCAAUGUCUUGCAAGAAUUGAUUUAUUAUUUCUUUUUUUACAUUUUGUCUCAUUUCAACCACAGACCUUAUCCUGAGGUUCCACUGCCAGGCACCUUAUUCCAUCGGGAGUGAUUCGGAGCGGAGCGCCACUGUGCGGUUCGACUUGGACCCCACAAGGAUUGCGUCAUCGAGCAUUAGCAAUGUACUUGUAGGCUUUAAAUAGAGUAAAUAACCAGUAAAGUUAUUUGGCCAGUACUACUCAUGUCUCUGGUGUCUGCUCUUUAUUUAAUCACAUUACCUUGUUUUCUUUGG